rfam:Clonorchis sinensis DNA, scaffold: 1320, strain: Henan.
AACCCGGCUGAUCAGGCUGUUGCUCACUUGCCUUCCUCAGAGGUUGAGUCGUGUGUGUUAAGUGUAAACCUUUCAAACGCGAAGUUCCGAAGCGCACUUUGGAAGAGCUAUGGGUACUAGGACUAUACACACACAGACUAAAAAAUGGAUCAACCGGCAGUGCUUUCGGUCAGUGUUGCUGCAUUCAUUGGCGGCUCCAGAUAAUUCUGUUGAUUGCAGUCAGCCUUGAGUUGGCUAUACAUUUCCAAAUUUUUUCCUUGUCGAUUUUUGGCGGUAGGUAAAUCGCCUGAGCUGGUAAUCAGGGUUUGACCCCCAAGACGGAGCCUCAGAAAUGAUGGUCAUUUCCAAGGAAUGCAUCUCAAACUACCCAGCAUUGGUGAGAUAAGUAGAUGACAGGAAAUUCGGUUACGGCACUCACUACAACCUCCACGUUUGAGAAUCCUCUAACGAGGAUUAACCGGGUGAUGGUCCCAAUAGCCCUGGUGGUUCUAGCUCCAGAAAUGUACAAUAAUAGCUGCUGUAGCUUAAAAUCUUGUAGUUAGGCCUGGGUCGCGUGGCUAUAUGACACACCGCGCGUACUUCUAGCCUAUUUGAUGAAGUUUUUGAGUCGGCGUUUUGUUCUGGCUGGUAAUCUUUUCGAAGGAUUCUUACGGCUAAUCUGCUGACGUGCCUCUGGCUAUCUUUAGCCGGAUGGAGUUGAAGGAAUGCAUACUUUGAACAGUUCACAUGGUGGAAGCUGACCGGUUUGCCAGAACAUUCCUGCGCAAAACAAUGCAAUAAACUCUCACUUCUUUUGUUGGUUUCCGGAUCCAAAGUAAUAGUUGAAAGGAACCGAUGGGAGUAUUUUUGUGGUGGUUCUCAGCUGAGAUCUACAGUGGAGGCAUUCUCAAAAUCUGUCUUCAUUGAUCUGGGGCAGAAUUCAUAGGUUCGAAAAAGCUGAGAUUCCGUCCUAGCUCUGACCGUAAACGAUGUCAUCUCACUAGUAUCAUCCUCCGCUGGCUCCGCGAAACCUCCAAUUCUCUAGGCUCUCAUGGGAAAUGUGGGUGUAAAAUUACGGCCUAAAGGAACUGAAAGAAUGACAUUAUCAGACACAAAGCCUACUUUCUACUUUGAUUCAUUAUGGGAAGUCAAACCCGGCCUGGUCACUGUGCGAACCGAAAGACUGAAAAUUCUUUCUUGAUCCGGUGGUUGAUUUUACGUGGCUCAUCUUAGCUGCUGGGACAACGACUUUGGCCUGCCUAGUAGUACACAUGUUCUCGGUGCACGUACACGUAGCCUUGCUGAUUAUUUCUGCGCGCCGGCGUCAUUUGAAUGGACAAGUCGUUGAACAACGUGCAAGUUGCAUAGAGUUGAAUGCUAGCGAAUCUAAGAUGUCCACAAAGUCUGGGAUGGCAUGUGCGCUACAAGGAAGAUGCCAAGAUAGCUGGGAUCCUAGCCCGAAAGGACUGUGUGAAAUGAAGCAUGACCGACGUGACCGAGAUCGGGAUUUGUAACUAUUCCCCGUGAACCAUGAAUUACUGGUAAAUGCAUACCAUAGGCUUUCCUUUAUCACACGCGUGUUAUAUGUACAAACAACGUACUGCUAAUACCGACUGAAUGGUUUAACAAUACUUUUAGAUUCACGCCACUGUAACUGUUUCGGCAGCCCGAUCAAUG